CCAGCGCAAGAGAGGAAGAAGACUAAACUGAAGUUUAUUCCUUUGUGUGAGUUAACUUUACAGAGAUACAAACUACUCCUAUUUAUACAUAAAGCUAACACUCUUAUCUUAACUAAUUAACCCUUAUCAUUGGUUCAUACCCUUAAUACCCACACUGCAGUUUUUGAGCAAAUAUCGGAUACCACACCCAGGAAGAGUUGGAGGAAGGUUUUUCAUUCAGAAGAUGAUGCCUAUGAUGUUGAGUUGGGUGUUAGGUGGCAAUAGGUAAUAAGGAAAGCAUACAUUUCUUUGCGUAAUUUGUCAUUAGUUUCUUUUCCAUCGUUGUUAUACCUGGAGUUGUUCUUUCUCCAAUCCAGUCCACUCAUUCAAGAUAAAAUAUGAGACAAAGGAUUACUUUGAAAAGGGUGCAAGUUGAAGAAAUUGAUAAUACUGAAAAGUAAUUUUCAGGUUUUGUUUGGAGACAAUAAGAAUUGAAACAUGUCUUGCAAUUUUUCUUUUAUCAUUUAUUUGCAACAUGAAGAUGAUGCUACUUUUGCAGCUCCAAGCUUGAAGGUAGACCCGUAUGUUGCAGGCUCUCAGACAAAGUAUGCGACUCAAAUACAGUUUCCUUUAUACUUUGUUACUAAGAAGAAAUUAAUGACACACCUAGACUAUUCUAUUGAUUAUGUCUAUCAGAUUGUGGUAUGGAUUCUAAUAGGCAUUUGAUUUGGUUAUGUAUGAAGGCAAAUGACCAGUUACACACAUGGUUCGUAGAGGAUGAUGCUCUUGAGCGUACUAUUAAUGGAGAGUAAGUCUAUGACCCCAUAUGAAUUUAUUUACUAAUAUCAUGCUUAGCACAUUGGUCUCAUAACUAAGAACCUGAUUCCAGUUAUGGUAAAUAGAUAAAGUAGAAGUCUGUGAAGAAUGGAGGAUAGGAACAGAGGAAGUUAGCUCCCUUUUCAUCAUUUAGGCAGUUAACAACAACUGUUACUGAUUUAUAGGUGGUUUUUAUUACCAUGCGGAGAUGAAGGAGGUUAUUUGAAUCCCAUAAGUUUAAUUCAAGAUGAGAUGGAACCCUGCAUAAUCGGUUAUGCUUUCAUUUCCAUCUUCUCUAUAAUUUAGAGGCUAAUAAUUAUGAAAUGUACUUACUAUGCAUUGGAUUCUGGACAACAGAGGAAACAAUUAAUUAGGAUGUGACGGUGUAUGUACCUAACACAUUUUGCAUGUGGUUUCAAAGAUAUAAUAUGUUUUCGCAGAAAGAAGAUUACCCGGGCAUUUCAAUUGCAAAACCCUUACCUGAGGUCUCUGAGAUGCAUGCUCAAUUUCACCAUAAGGACGGUGCAUUUUUCUUGACCGAUCUGCGUAGUGUUCAUGGCACCUGGAUCACUAAGUUAAGUAAAACAAACUUGAGGUUAUUAAGUUUGAAGUUCUUGAAAAUCUAAAUCCAAUUCAAUUUGUAUAAAUGCCAUAAUAAUUUCAGCAAUGAAGGAAGGUGAUACCGGAUACCUCCAAAUGAUCAAGCUCGUGUGCGCCCAUCGGAUGUGAUUGAUUUUGGUUCACAAAAGGCUUCAUUUCGGGUUAAAGUGAUAAGCUCUACUCCAAGAGCGUCCCAAAACGAAGGGGCGCCAAUAUACCAACAAGUAUGAUUCUGUUUAUAUACAAAUACAUAUCUAUGUUUAUAACAUGUUCAUGUUAAUUAAUUAGGAUAUGAACAUGAAAAUGCUACAAACAACUCUUUUGAUUGUCAUUUACAGAAAUAAAUUAUACAAAAUUACUUGAUACGAGGAAAGAAAAAUUAAAUUGUGAUAGAUAUCUUUUUACUCUUGUGGAUUGAUUUCUUCUUGUGUUUCAAGU